GAUGAACGCUGGCGGCGUGCCUAAUACAUGCAAGUCGAGCGAACAGACGAGGAGCUUGCUCCUCUGACGUUAGCGGCGGACGGGUGAGUAACACGUGGAUAACCUACCUAUAAGACUGGGAUAAUUUCGGGAAACCGGAGCUAAUACCGGAUAAUAUAUUGAACCGCAUGGUUCAAUAGUGAAAGACGGUUUUGCUGUCACUUAUAGAUGGAUCCGCGCCGCAUUAGCUAGUUGGUAAGGUAACGGCUUACCAAGGCAACGAUGCGUAGCCGACCUGAGAGGGUGGUCGGGCACACUGGAUCUGAGACACGGUCCAGACUCCGGCGGGGAGACGCAGUAGGGAAUCUUACGCGAGGGGGGAGAGCCUGACGGAGCGACACCGCGUGAGUGAUGAAGGUGUUAGGAUCGUAGAACUCUGUUAGUAGGAGAAAAGAAAUAUGUUAGUAACGGUGAACGUAUUGACGGUACCUGAUCAGGAAGCCACGGCUAACUACGUG
rnacentral:rRNA from 1 species